rnacentral:snRNA from 1 species
AGAGGUGAGGAUGAUCUGGCUGCAACAUCUAUCACCCCAUUGACCACCAGAGUGAUUUGGCUAGGCCCAGUAUCCCCUUCUUCCCUCAUUAUUCCAUGUGCGUCCCUCCCGAAGCUGCGUGCUUGGCCAAAGAGGACCACCAUCCUUAACAGAGGACUGUUCUUUGAUCAAGGAUAUACAAGUAGUUACGCUCCUCUGCUAGAACCUCCAACAAGCUCUCAAACCCCAGUACCACCAAAAAACAAAAACAAGAACAAACCAGUGAAUUUUGCCAGGCACGGUGGUAUAUGCAUGUAAUC